rnacentral:rRNA from 1 species
GACGUAGGGCGCGAGCGUUGUCCGGAUUUAUUGGGCGUAAAGAGCUCGUAGGCGGCUCAUUGCGUCAACCGUGAAAACCAGCAGCUCAACUGUUGGCUUGCGGUUGAUACGGGUGGGCUGGAGUUCGGUAGGGGAGACUGGAAUUCCUGGUGUAGCGGUGAAAUGCGCAGAUAUCAGGAGGAACACCGGUGGCGAAGGCGAGUCUCUGGGAUGAUGCUGACGCUGAGGCGCGAAAGCCAGGGGAGCAAACGGG